rnacentral:misc_RNA from 1 species
GGUGGUGCCAGUUUGGAGUUACUUGAAGGAAAGGUGCUCCCUGGUGUCAUAGCUCUAGAUGAGGCUGACGCCCCUGUUGCAGUGUAAAACAAUUUGUACUAAAUUCUUUUUUCGGUCAACUUAACUUAAUCAGCCAGUUGGGGAACAUUGAGUUGUUAAUGUUGUAGAUUUUCCAGGUGAUAUAAGGGCCUUUUUUCCCAAGCUAUUUUAUCUGUCUAAAUAAAGGGCGUGUGUGUAUGUAUAGACAGCGACAACUUUGGUUCAACUUGUUUAGAUGUAACAAGUGCACUUGACACCUCCUGCUCAUGACAUUUG